rnacentral:rRNA from 1 species
CCUACGGGAGGCAGCAGUGAGGAAUAUUGGUCAAUGGACGAGAGUCUGAACCAGCCAAGUAGCGUGAAGGAUGACUGCCCUAUGGGUUGUAAACUUCUUUUAUAUGGGAAUAAAACGUUCCACGUGUGGGAUUUUGUAUGUACCAUAUGAAUAAGGAUCGGCUAACUCCGUGCCAGCAGCCGCGGUAAUACGGAGGAUCCGAGCGUUAUCCGGAUUUAUUGGGUUUAAAGGGAGCGUAGGUGGAUUGUUAAGUCAGUUGUGAAAGUUUGCAGCUCAACCGUAAAAUUGCAGUUGAAACUGGCAGUCUUGAGUACAGUAGAGGUGAGCGGAAUUCGUGGUGUAGCGGUGAAAUGCUUAGAUAUCACGAAGAACUCCGAUUGCGAAGGCAGUUCACUGGACUGCAACUGACACUGAGGCUCGAAAGUGUGGGUAUCAAACAGGAUUAGAUACCCGUGUAGUC